UGGGGGAUAUUGCACAAUGGGGGAAACCCUGAUGCAGCGACGCCGCGUGCAGGAAGACGGUCCUCUGGAUUGUAAACUACUGUCUUCGGGGACGAUAAUGACGGUACCCGAGGAGGAAGCUCCGGCUAACUACGUGCCAGCAGCCGCGGUAAUACGUAGGGAGCGAGCGUUGUCCGGAAUUACUGGGUGUAAAGGGAGUGUAGGCGGCUGUGCAAGUCAGAAGUGAAAGCCCGGGGCUCAACCCCGGGACUGCUUUUGAAACUGCAUGGCUUGAGUGCAGGAGAGGUAAGUGGAAUUCUCGGUGUAGCAGUGAAAUGCGUAGAUAUCGAGAGGAACACUCGUGGCGAAGGCGGGUUCCUGGACAUUAACUGACGCUGAGGUACGAAGGCUAGGGUAGCGAAAG
rnacentral:rRNA from 1 species